UGACUGCUAUCGGAUUGAUACUAAGCCAUGCGAGUCUUUGCAGUAAUGCAAGGCAUACGGCUCAGUAACACGUAGUCAACUUACCCUAUGGACGAGGAUAAUCUCGGGAAACUGAGCAUAAUACUCGAUAGAUCAUAAUGCCUGGAAUGGUUUAUGGUUAAAAUGAUUCGUCGCCAUAGGAUGGGACUGCGGCCUAUCAGCUUGUUGGUGAGGUAAUGGCCCACCAAGGCGAUUACAGGUACGGGCUCUGAGAGGAGAAGCCCGGAGAUGGGUACUGAGACAAGGACCCAGGCCCUAUGGGGCGCAGCAGGCGAGAAAACUUUGCAAUGUGCGAAAGCACGACAAGGUUAAUCCGAGUGAUUUCUGCUAAAGAAAUCUUUUGCAAGUCAUAAAACCACUAGUGAAUAAGGGGUGGGCAAGUUCUGGUGUCAGCCGCCGCGGUAAAACCAGCACCUCAAGUGGUCAGGAGGAUUAUUGGGCCUAAAGCAUCCGUAGCCGGCUCUGUAAGUUUUCGGUUAAAUUCAUGUGCUCAACGCAUGAGCCGCCGAAAAUACUGCAUAGCUAGGGAGUGGGAGAGGUAGACGGUACUCGGUAGGAAGGGGUAAAAUCCUUUGAUCUAUCGAUGACCACCUGUGGCGAAGGCGGCCUACCAGAACACGUUCGACGGUGAGGGAUGAAAGCUGGGGGAGCAAACCGGAUUAGAUACCCGGGUAGUCCCAGCUGUAAACGAUGCAGACUCGAUGAUGCAUUGGCAUAUAGCCAAUGCAGUGUCGCAGGGAAGCCGUUAA
rnacentral:rRNA from 1 species